rnacentral:rRNA from 1 species
GACGAACGCUGGCGGCGUGCUUAACACAUGCAAGUCGAGCGAUGAAGCACCUUCGGGUGUGAAUUAGCGGCGAACGGGUGAGGAACACGUGAGAAAUCUGCCUUCAACUCUGGGAUAACUCCGGGAAACCGGGGCUAAUACCGGAUAUGAGCCUUGAUCGCAUGAUCGGGGCUGGAAAGUUUUUCGGUUGAAGAUGAUCUCGCAGCCUAUCAGCUUGUUGGUGAGGUAAUGGCUCACCAAGGCGACGACGGGUAGCCGGCCUGAGAGGGCGACCGGCCACACUGGGACUGAGACACGGCCCAGACUCCUACGGGAGGCAGCAGUGGGGAAUAUUGGGGAAUGGAGGAAACUCUGACCCAGCGACGCCGCGUGAGGGAUGAAGGCCUUCGGGUUGUAAACCUCUUUCAGUAGGGAAGAAGCGAAAGUGACGGUACCUACAGAAGAAGCACCGGCUAACUAUGUGCCAGCCGCCGCGGUAA